rnacentral:tRNA from 1 species
UCCCUGGUGGCUCAGUUGGUAAAGUGUCUGCCUGCAAUGCGGGAGACCCAGGUUCGAUUCUUGGGUUUGGAA